rnacentral:tRNA from 1 species
UGUAUGAUGCCUGAAUAAAGGAUGAUUUUGAUAGAAUCAAUUAUGUGGCCCCCCCCACUCUUACAA